CGGCCGCCGGCGGCAGCCGCCGCCGCUCCCCCUCUUCCCCGCCGCCAAGCGCUCCUCCGCUCCGGCGAGCCCCCUCUUCGCCCGCCUUCACCGUCUCCUCCCGGCGAGCCGUCUCCUCCGGCUGCUCCUCCUACUCGCGCUAUUCUCCCUCGUCCCGCCGGCCUUCUUCCACCUCCGCCUCCGCCGCUUCCACCGCAUGCGCGAGAGGAAGUGCGGGUGGAUCACGAGCCCGCCCAUGGUGUGCGCGCACGGCGGCGACUCCACCAACGCGUUUCCCAACUCGAUGGAAGCGUUUCGGAUGGCUCUGGACGCGCGGGUCGACUGCGUGGAGGUGGACAUCUCGAGGUCCUCCGACGGCGUGCUCUUCGCGCUGCACGACAGGUGAUUGAAUUGCCACUUUGCUGGGGUGGUGUAAUAAAUUAUUUGCUUACAUUUGAUGAUUGAUUUAUUAAAUAGCAGAAAUCGGCAUCUGAUGUUAUAUCUGUGAGCCUGCAUAUUAGAGAGAGAAAAAAAAAGAUGCUAUAUCUGUAAAUGCGUACGGCUUGUUUUUAAUAGAACUGGAGAUACAAGCUAAAAUACCAAUAGUACUUGAUGGAUCAGUGUUCUGUUUAGAAAUUCGCCCUUUGGUGUUACAUGAUAUGUUGACGUUAGUGUCAUGGAAAAAUGCAUGCUCUUGCCAAGUGUAAACAGGGUACCUCGAAACAAUUCAUGUUACAUGGAUGGGUUGCCAUGGAAUCCUCUUAGAGAUGAUUUUUACAACCAUAUUGAUGCAUUUAUGUAUAUGGAAUAGUCUGCAAACAAAGGCAAUGAAAACUUAUCAUUAAAUAGGAUGGGUGGUGAAAACUGCCUGCAUAGUACAUAUUGCGCUUACCAUCUCAUUACAUUAUAAAUCUAAGCUGUUUUAAUAUUAAACUGCAAAUAUGUCUAACUAAUGGGGUUAAGAAGGCAUCUAACUGGAAACAGUUUUAUCUGCCUAUUACUCAUUGGCAUAUGGCUGGUUUGUUUCGAGAAUUAUGCACACCUUAGUUUUUGGAAGGGAUUGCCGGGAAGCGUACGAUUACUUUCUUAUUUUGUGUUCAUAGUUCUUACUACCUAUAACCAUGAGCACGAGGCCAUGAUAUGGUUGGGGGUUGGGGAUAACCCUCCUGCUACUGUCAAUUGUGAAAUAUAUGGAAAAUUCAUAAAAUAUUAGCUUGGGAAAGCAUUUUUGAAUGUUCAGUAUGGUGAAUGCAUCUAUUACCAUGCUUCUUUUUCUUUGUAACAACAUGCCUGGACCUAAUGCACAAUUGACACAGGCAGGGAUCUGCAAAAAAUGUCUGGUGAUUCCACUGCCAAAGUUGGCCACUGGAGCACAGAUGAGUUGUUUUGUAGAUAAAAGCACUAAGUACAAGGUUUCAGUUAUCGAAAAGUGUCCGAAACGAGGAUGUUCCUAAAGCAGAAGAUGCUCUGGCACUGAAGAGAAUAAAUUGCAAAAAUUGUCUUCUGUGGGCAAAAAGUGAUGACCUAGGGCGAGAGAUGAUCAAGUUGUCUAAAGAUGUUGUGGUUGGUUAUAUUGUUAUGGUUGAUAAAUCCACUGGUAGAAGAAUUGAGUUGGUGCGGCUUGAAGGGGCUAAAGUUGCUGGUGUAUAUCAUCAUUUGAUCCACGAAAAAGUCAUGAAGGUCAUGCGGAGGCAAG